UAACCUCUCUCUUUCUACUCUCCUUCCGCAAAUACUCUGUCAUUUCUCUUUCUUCUUCUUUUUUUCCUGUGAAAAGAAAAUUGAAUUUUCCUCUUCAAUUCUUUAUUUCCCUUCUAAUUAGAAAUUGAAAACCUGUUAAUGUAUAAGGGUGCCUGACCAAAAAAAAAUAAAAAAAAAUACAAGGGUCUCCCAAACCUUCACGAGUCAGCGGGUGUUAAUUAACAAUAGUAACGUAUAAGUUGAUAAGAUUGAGUAUAAACACGAGAAGAGAUUGAGUAUAAACACGUGAAUAUUUUUAACGAACCAACAUGUACUCCUCCAAAAAGGGAAAAAAAAUUAUAAACAAGAAGAAACAAAGUCCAGAUGGGAACACGUUUUCUAAAUAAACCCCUGCUACUAAAUAUAUAAUAUCUGAGCAUAGCUUUCUUAUUAUAAAUGUUUUCCCCUUGGAAUUGAUUAUCUGGAGUUUUUAUCUUUAAACCUAGGAAUUAGUGUUUCAAUCCUACUGUCACAAUCCAAUUAAUAAAGUAAUGGAAUCACGCAAAUGUAGAGUGUGUAAAUAAAUUUCACAUGAAAAAUAGAGAAGAAAAAAUGAGCAAAUCAAUAAACUUGGAUGAAUCAUUUUUUUUUUUUGUGAGCUAAUUUUAUCAUCCUAUUAACAAAGAAUCAGGAUUAGAAAUGCGUAGGAAACUUCUCUUUUCUUGCUCUAUCUUUUAGCUUCAUGUGCAAAGUACUAGUGUUUGGAAUUGGUACAACACGGAAUAAGCUCCAUAAUUGUUAUAACGGAGCAUAUGUAUAUCCAGCAAAAACUUAAAAGACACACUGACUCUUUCCCUCUUUAUUUUUAGGAUGUGCAAUUUAUUUUAUUACGUGGAAAGGGUCAAAUUUGCAUCUGAACAUUCAAAACGGAAUAAAUUUAUCUUCUGUGAAUAGUUGGGGCCAAAUAUGCCCUCAUCUAUGGCCAGUUUGUUAUUCAAGGGGGCACUGCAAUGGGAGAAAACAUGCUUCUAUGGUCCGUUGCGUUAUUUUCGUCUAGUGGUGCAAGCUAAGCAACUCCGGGUAUAUUAAAACCAGAUAUUAUUCUGCUCCGGAUUCUAUCUACUUGCAGCUUGCAAUCCCCUGUUUCAUAAAUUUAGUGUAAAGGUGGUGGUGGAAGUCUCAUUUUCCUCUUAAUUUGAAUAUAGGCAGUCAACACUUAUUUGCCUCUGAUUAGCUUGGAUCUCAAUUUUUUUUUUUUGGGAUAAAGCCUUGUUAAGAUUUUACCUGUGGUUUACCAGUACUACAUAUGCUCUUUUGUAAAAGUUGAUUACUCUGGUGAAAAAUCUUAAAGAUUGGAUAUUGUCGUUAUUUGGAGUUGGUACAUUUUUGUUUCUUUUUUCAACUGCAGAUUACUUGAUUACCAUUGAAAACCAUCUAAUUAGAAGAUGGAUUAUGCAAUAUUCACAAUAGAUAAGUAUAUUUCAGAUACAUUAUCUUUGAGAAUAAUUCAUUCGGAAGAAAGAUGCUUUACUAAUUGGAUCUGCGACUCAGCAUGUGAAUUACACAUUAUUGUCAUUUUACUCUAAUCAGGCUAUAUGUUUACAGUUGGAGAUAUCCACAGGGGACCAAAAAUAGUCUUUGUUGGAAAAUUCCAUUUAUAUUGAGUCGGUUGCACUGAUUUCUUCGUUGUUGGGAUAGCUGAACAACUUGGGACAAGAUAAUUCUUCAUGUAGUAUCAUGGUUUACUGGUGAGGCUGCUGAAUAUGAUAAAUCUGAAGAUUUGGAAGAUGUUAUCAAAGAAGAUGGAGAUGAAGAUGAAGACAAGUGGUGAUGGAAAGUUAAGAUUUGUUAUGUCUGCUUUUACAAAGUCAUUUACAAAUUUCCACUUAUCUAAGCGGAGAUUUUUUAGCGAAAGAGGGUUCUUGGAUUUCACACUCUAUUUUCAAGACAAAAAUUAAUGUGUUGUCUAAAUUCGGGAUGUAAGAGGUGCUAAUUGGAAAUAAAGCAUUAAAGUACGAUUAACAAUUUAUGAUACUGCAACUGUAAGUAAAGAAGCUACUUAUCUUUCUGUACCUAUUUCUGCUUUAAUGUUUUUCUUUUACUGGCAAGCAAGCGUACACUGCACUUCUUAAUUUUUGUAUUGAGAUAUUAGCUCAAAAUGGCAGCAAGUUCUUUUGGAUUUAGGUGCUACAAAGUAAAUGUUGCCCAUUCGCUCUGUUUCAGCUGCCCAUUAAUAAAAGAGUCAUCAUCGACACAUAGCGCUAAUUAUUUGUUUACCAAUUCCAAAAAAGAGAGCUUUCUAACUUCAACCUAAUAAGCAGUCUUAUAUAUGGUUCUCGCACUAGCAUCUCUAGGGUCUGGAGGUAUGCGUUUUACAGUUGAAUCCAUGCGAUCAUAUCACUUUUAGAGCCAAAACAUCAAGGAGCAUUUAACUGGUACGCAUUUACAUUAUAUACAUCCAUUGUUGUAAGUUCCACAGCUAUUGUCUACAUUGAGGACAAUAUCAGUUGGAUUUGGGAGUUUUCCAUCUCUUUAGCCCUUAACAUCCUUGCCUUAGUGAUAUUUCUAUCUGGGUGAUUCUAUUGCGUGUUAAGGAACAAGAAGGCAGCCCUCUUAUCGGCAUGGCUCGUCUCACUGUUUCAGCCAUUCGAAAAAAGAAAAAUCCCCUCUUCGAGAACAGUCAUCAGUACUACCUUCAGCUCUCUUAUAUAGGUUCCUCAAUCGUGAAGCCUUUAUCACUGGGGGAGACAAUAAAUCAGAUGGCUCUAUUGAUAAUAUACAUGGAGACUCUACAGUCCAACAAGUAGAAGACUUGAAAAGCUUGAUCAAGCUUGUCCCUUCAUGGAGUAGUGAACUAUACUCGCAAUAGUUUCAACAGAUUUUAGAAAUUUGAUACUCGAUGCAUGAUAACUUUAUGAAGUGUUAAUAUAUAUGUUGUAAACAUUAAUCAACUUGACAGAUGCUUCUUUUUUCAGUGAUUUGUAGUCUUUCUAUUAAUCUUGUGGUGUGCAAAUAAGACAAACAACUGUGACGGGCAUAGGCCAGUGCAUCGGACCGCCACCGGCCAUCUAGUAUUAUUUAUUAUAUAGAAGCACGGGUUCGGAGAGGCAGAAUCGUCGUCCACUGCUGAACAAGAGAACCCCUCGUCUUUAGUUUUAUUACUUCUGUACCAGCCAAAAAGUUAUUAUACCUGUGGGUCCCCCGUGUUUAUCCAUUUCAAACCUGCUAGAAGUCUCAGUUGAAUCCGCGGGGCCCA